GUGAAUCAUCGAAUUUUUGAACGCAAAUUGCACUCUCUUCGGAGAGUAUACGUGUUUGAGGGUCAGUAUUAAUAAAAAUCGGUGUGUUGCUUCUUUGUGACGCUCCGGAGUUUGGGUCAUCUUAAUAUCCUUUAGGUUUUAAGAGGCUUAAAAUUGACUUGUUUUGCGCAUUGUAGAUGUACAUAAAUUCUUUUUUUUAGUCGUCUGUCUUAAUGCUCAAUAUCCUAUUAGAUGCGACCAUAUCGUGGGGUUUCGUGCUGAUAAAUUGUAUAUGAUUG
rnacentral:misc_RNA from 1 species